GACAGAGGUCCCGAGCGUUAGGCGGAAUCACUGGGCGUAAAGCGUGCGCAGGCGGUUUUGUAAGUCAGAUGUGAAAUCCCCGGGCUUAACCUGGGACUGCGUUUGAAACUACAAGGCUAGAGUGUGGCAGAGGGGGUGGAAUUCCGACGGUGUAGCAGUGAAAUGCGUAGAGAUGUGGAGGAACACCGAUGGCGAAGGCAGCCCCUGGGUUAACACUGACGCUCAGGCACGAAGCGUGGGGAGCAACAGG
rnacentral:rRNA from 1 species